rnacentral:rRNA from 1 species
CCUACGGGUGGCUGCAGUGGGGAAUAUUGGACAAUGGGGGGAACCCUGAUCCAGCCAUGCCGCGUGUGUGAAGAAGGCCCUCGGGUUGUAAAGCACUUUCAGUGAGGAAGAACGCCUGGUGGUUAAUACCCAUCAGGAAAGACAUCACUCACAGAAGAAGCACCGGCUAACUCCGUGCCAGCAGCCGCGGUAAUACGGAGGGUGCGAGCGUUAAUCGGAAUUACUGGGCGUAAAGCGCGCGUAGGUGGCUUGAUAAGCCGGUUGUGAAAGCCCCGGGCUCAACCUGGGAACGGCAUCCGGAACUGUCAAGCUAGAGUGCAGGAGAGGAAGGUAGAAUUCCCGGUGUAGCGGUGAAAUGCGCAGAGAUCGGGAGGAAUACCAGUGGCGAAGGCGGCCUUCUGGACUGACACUGACACUGAGGUGCGAAAGCGUGGGUAGCAAACAGGAUUAGAUACCCGAGUAGUC